rnacentral:rRNA from 1 species
UACGGGGGGGGCACGCGUUGUUCGGAAUUACUGGGCGUAAAGGGCUCGUAGGCGGCCAACUAAGUCAGACGUGAAAUCCCUCGGCUUAACCGGGGAACUGCAUCUGAUACUGGAUGGCUUGAGUUCGGGAGAGGGAUGCGGAAUUCCAGGUGUAGCGGUGAAAUGCGUAGAUAUCUGGAGGAACACCGGUGGCGAAGGCGGCAUCCUGGACCGACACUGACGCUGAGGAGCGAAAGCGUGGGGAGCAAACAGG